rnacentral:rRNA from 1 species
CAGAUUGAACGCUGGCGGCAGGCUUAACACAUGCAAGUCGAGCGGAAACGAUGAUAGCUUGCUAUCAGGCGUCGAGCGGCGGACGGGUGAGUAAUACUUAGGAAUCUACCUAGUAGUGGGGGAUAGCACGGGGAAACUCGUAUUAAUACCGCAUACGACCUACGGGAGAAAGGGGGCAGUUUACUGCUCUCGCUAUUAGAUGAGCCUAAGUCGGAUUAGCUAGAUGGUGGGGUAAAGGCCUACCAUGGCGACGAUCUGUAGCUGGUCUGAGAGGAUGAUCAGCCACACCGGGACUGAGACACGGCCCGGACUCCUACGGGAGGCAGCAGUGGGGAAUAUUGGACAAUGGGGGAAACCCUGAUCCAGCCAUGCCGCGUGUGUGAAGAAGGCCUUUUGGUUGUAAAGCACUUUAAGCAGUGAAGAAGACUCCGUGGUUAAUACCCACGGACGAUGACAUUAGCUGCAGAAUAAGCACCGGCUAACUCUGUGCCAGCAGCCGCGGUAAUACAGAGGGUGCAAGCGUUAAUCGGAAUUACUGGGCGUAAAGGGAGCGUAGGUGGCUCUAUAAGUCAGAUGUGAAAUCCCCGGGCUUAACCUGGGAACUGCAUCUGAAACUGUAGAGCUAGAGUAUGUGAGAGGAAGGUAGAAUUCCAGGUGUAGCGGUGAAAUGCGUAGAGAUCUGGAGGAAUACCGAUGGCGAAGGCAGCCUUCUGGCAUAAUACUGACACUGAGGCUCGAAAGCGUGGGUAGCAAACAGGAUUAGAUACCCUGGUAGUCCACGCCGUAAACGAUGUCUACUAGUCGUUGGGUCCCUUGAGGACUUAGUGACGCAGCUAACGCAAUAAGUAGACCGCCUGGGGAGUACGGCCGCAAGGUUAAAACUCAAAUGAAUUGACGGGGGCCCGCACAAGCGGUGGAGCAUGUGGUUUAAUUCGAUGCAACGCGAAGAACCUUACCUGGUCUUGACAUAUCUAGAAUCCUGCAGAGAUGCGGGAGUGCCUUCGGGAAUUAGAAUACAGGUGCUGCAUGGCUGUCGUCAGCUCGUGUCGUGAGAUGUUGGGUUAAGUCCCGCAACGAGCGCAACCCUUGUCCUUAGUUACCAGCGGGUUAAGCCGGGAACUCUAAGGAUACUGCCAGUGACAAACUGGAGGAAGGCGGGGACGACGUCAAGUCAUCAUGGCCCUUACGACCAGGGCUACACACGUGCUACAAUGGUAGGUACAGAGGGCAGCUACACAGCGAUGUGAUGCGAAUCUCAAAAAGCCUAUCGUAGUCCAGAUUGGAGUCUGCAACUCGACUCCAUGAAGUAGGAAUCGCUAGUAAUCGCGGAUCAGAAUGCCGCGGUGAAUACGUUCCCGGGCCUUGUACACACCGCCCGUCACACCAU